rnacentral:rRNA from 1 species
UGGGGAAUAUUGCACAAUGGGCGAAAGCCUGAUGCAGCGACGCCGCGUGCGGGAUGAAGGCCUUCGGGUUGUAAACCGCUUUUAAUUGGGAGCAAGCGAGAGUGAGUGUACCUUUUGAAUAAGCACCGGCUAACUACGUGCCAGCAGCCGCGGUAAUACGUAGGGUGCAAGCGUUAUCCGGAAUUAUUGGGCGUAAAGAGCUCGUAGGCGGUUUGUCACGCCUGGUGUGAAAGUCCAUCGCUUAACGGUGGAUCUGCGCCGGGUACGGGCAGGCUAGAGUGCAGUAGGGGAGAUUGGAAUUCC